rnacentral:rRNA from 1 species
AUACGUAGGAUGCGAGCGUUGUCCGGAUUCACUGGGUGUAAAGGGAGCGCAGGCGGAUUUGUAAGUCGGCGGUGAAAUUUUUGGGCUUAACCCAAAAACUGCCACCGAUACUGCAAAUCUUGAGUGCAGAAGAGGUUGAUGGAAUUCUAGGUGUAGCGGUGAAAUGCGUAGAUAUCUAGAAGAACACCAAUGGCGAAGGCAGUCAACUGGUCUGCUACUGACGCUCAUGCUCGAAAGCGUGGGGAGCAAACAGGAUUAGAUACCCUGGUAGUCCACGCCCUAAACGAUGGAUACUCGAUGUCGGUCUGAAAGGAUCGGUGUCUAAGCAAACGCGUUAAGUAUCCCACCUGGGGAGUACGAUCGCAAGGUUGAA